CAGAAAUCGCCACGCGCACAGCUCUCUACCUUAUAAAAACUUGGUCUAAUGCUGCUAUUAAUUAAUUUCACCUGCAACUACAGAUUCCCUGUAGGAUAACAGUUCUGUUUAAUGAUAUUGAUAUGCACUGCAGCUGUUAUAUAGUUUUAGUUAUUGUAAUUUAUAAAAAAUAACUGGAAACUGCAUUAGUCGUUCUACAGAUCUCAAGAUAUGAUCAAUAUGAGAAAUCUGAAAUUGAAAACGGACUGGAGUUUUCUUCAUGUAGCUCUAUACUAAAUAUUUAAUUUUAUAAAAAUUGACAAUUAAACAUUGAAAGGCUCGCGACCGAGCCUACGAUUUUUUAACACGAUGGUGCACAAUUAAAAUGUUAUAUAGCAAAAAGAAUUAUUAAUCUCUAAAGUCUUACGCUCGAAAUACCUUAUCUAACACGACGGUCAUGUUAAAAAUUGAAACAAGAAAACCUAGGAAGGGUAGGCAGCGUUAAUAAAUGUUUUCAUUCACAUAUAGGACAACCUUUAUUAAUUAAUGCUUUUACUAGUCAUAAUAUAAUGCUAUUAAUCGUUAUAAUAUUAAUAAUAAUAGUAAUAAUAAUAAGUCAUAAUAUAUAAUAUAUAUUUAUAUUAUUAAUAUGCUUAUCUAGACCUUGUGUUACAUAAUACACAAUCAUUAUCAUAUCUUAUUCCUUAUCAUAUAUAAUGUAAUACAUAUCGUCAGGAUGGUAUAAAUAAUAUUGUAUUUCGUAAAAGCACUUCUUGUUGCUUAUAAUAUUAUCGUUUCCAUAUUGUUUCUUUACCUCUGUACUUCCAUCGUUCCACUUAACUGUCCCUAAUGUUAGUUAUCAUUUUUGUAUGGGUACCUUUUAGAUUAAAACAUUACUCCCAUCCAUCUCCCUCCCGAUCAUCAAAACAAUCCUCAUCAUCUGUGCUCCCGUCAUCGACCAACACAUAGCCUGACAAUAAAGGUAUCCGCGUUCAAAAA